GUUAAACCUUUCAGUUCUUUUAAAAUAUUCUUCUGUCAUUCUCCCUAGUGCCCAUAACCAGCUAACUCCAGGUCUUUAAGAAACACCAACCCUGGGGAGCAUUCCAUGGUCUCCUGAGACUGGGUUGGUGGUCCUCAUUCUGCACCCCUGUAGCAUACUCUCUGUUCUCUCUCAGAGCAUCAUCUUGCCAGCCUGUGUGGUACCUGUGCAUUUAACUAUGCUUCCCUGUCGUCUAUUGAUUCCCCGUCUUUCUGACACUGUAGUCUCCAGUGAUCAUGACACUGCAGUCAUGAAACAUAGUAGGUAUUCAGUGGGCAUUUGUUGAAUGAAUGGCCUCACUAUAAUUCAAGGUCACCCUACUUUUUAGAGCCAGCCAGUUUGAAUUGGGACCCUUCUAUGUGUGAACACCAUGCUCUGUCCUGGUUCUCCUGAGGUCAUUGAAGGAUAUGAGCAGUGGCCCUGCUCCCAGAUCCCUUGCAGACGAGCUAGACGAAUGAGACAAUCAGAAACUCAUCAAGAGCCAUGUCGAGCUGCUGAUUUCAGCUGAAAUUCAGAAGAAUGAGAGAGCACAGAGGCCAAGGAAGUCCUGAAAGUCUUUACCAGCAUCAAGGUCUUUUCAGAUGGCCAAAGUAUUGGAGUUUCAGCCUCAGCAUCAGUCCUUCCAGUGAAUAUUGAGGGUUGAUUUCCUUUAGGAUUGAGUUGUACCCUAAGUCUACAGUUGUUCAGAGAGUGAAAGUAACCACCCAAGGCUGCACAGCUAGUAAGUGCUAAAGCUGAAACUGAAGUCUUCCUAACUUUUCUUUUUCCACACUGCGUCUGAGAAUGGGUGGGCCAGCCCAUACACUGGCUCUUCCGAUCUAUGGAAACAACCUAGAUGUCCAUCAGCAGAUGAAUGGAUAAGAAAGCUGUGGUACAUAUACACAAUGGAGUAUUACUCAGCCGUUAAAAAGAAUUCAUUUGAAUCAGUUCUGAUGAGAUGGAUGAAACUGGAGCCGAUUAUACAGAGUGAAGUAAGCCAGAAAGAAAAACACCAAUACAGUAUACUAACACAUAUAUAUGGAAUUUAGGAAGAUGGCAAUGACGACCUUGUAUGCAAGACAGGGAAAGAGACACAGAUGUGUAUAACGGACUUUUGGACUCAGAG
ensembl:lncRNA